rnacentral:snoRNA from 1 species
CCAUUGUGGAUACCCCGGGAGGUCACUCACCCCAGGCUCUGUCCAGGUGGUACACGGGAGCAUAGGGCUGUGCCCUGUGAUGUACAGCCCUUCUCCACAACAUUGGAGAGGAAGCUGGGCCUCACAUCUGUUCCUGCAUAUUCCUACAGCUUCUCAGAGUCCUUUGGGCAAUGACUGAGGAGAUAAACCAUGCAGGAAACAAUG